rnacentral:rRNA from 1 species
CACUCCUGCGGGAGGCAGCAGUGGGGAAUUUUGGACAAUGGGCGCAAGCCUGAUCCAGCCAUGCCGCGUGCGGGAAGAAGGCCUUCGGGUUGUAAACCGCUUUUGUCAGGGAAGAAAAGGUUCUGGCUAAUACCUGGGACUCAUGACGGUACCUGAAGAAUAAGCACCGGCUAACUACGUGCCAGCAGCCGCGGUAAUACGUAGGGUGCAAGCGUUAAUCGGAAUUACUGGGCGUAAAGCGUGCGCAGGCGGUUAUGCAAGACAGAGGUGAAAUCCCCGGGCUCAACCUGGGAACUGCCUUUGUGACUGCAUGGCUAGAGUACGGUAGAGGAGGAUGGAAUUCCGCGUGUAGCAGUGAAAUGCGUAGAUAUGCGGAGGAACACCGAUGGCGAAGGCAAUCCCCUGGACCUGUACUGACGCUCAUGCACGAAAGCGUGGGGAGCAAACAGGAGUAGAUACCCGUGUAGUCCCAUGA